rnacentral:rRNA from 1 species
AACGAACGCUGGCGGCAUGCCUAACACAUGCAAGUCGAACGAGACCUUCGGGUCUAGUGGCGCACGGGUGCGUAACGCGUGGGAACCUGCCCUUAGGUUCGGAAUAACUCCCCGAAAGGGGUGCUAAUACCGGAUAAUGUCUUCGGACCAAAGAUUUAUCGCCUUUGGAUGGGCCCGCGUUGGAUUAGCUAGUUGGUAGGGUAAAAGCCUACCAAGGCGACGAUCCAUAGCUGGUCUGAGAGGAUGAUCAGCCACACUGGGACUGAGACACGGCCCAGACUCCGACGGGAGGCAGCAGUGGGGAAUAUUGGACAAUGGGCGAAAGCCUGAUCCAGCAAUGCCGCGUGAGUGAUGAAGGCCUUAGGGUUGUAAAGCUCUUUUACCCGGGAUGAUAAUGACAGUACCGGGAGAAUAAGCGCCGGCUAACUCCGUG